rnacentral:rRNA from 1 species
CUAGUUGUACGAGUUCAGACUCGUAGCAGAUAGCUCAGUAACACGUGGCCAAACUACCCUCUGGAGCGCGACAACCUCGGGAAACUGAGGCUAAUCGGGCAUACCGCUCUCAGGCUGGAACUGCCGAGAGCUCGAAACGCCCCGGCGCCAGAGGAUGUGGCUGCGGCCGAUUAGGUAGACGGUGGGGUAACGGCCCACCGUGCCAGUAAUCGGUACGGGUUGUGAGAGCAAGAGCCCGGAGACGGUAUCUGAGACAAGAUACCGGGCCCUACGGGGCGCAGCAGGCGCGAAACCUUUACACUGCACGCCAGUGCGAUAAGGGGACUCCAA